rnacentral:rRNA from 1 species
GACGAACGCUGGCGGCGUGCUUAACACAUGCAAGUCGAACGGAAAGGCCCUGCUUUUGUGGGGUGCUCGAGUGGCGAACGGGUGUGUAACACGUGAGUAACCUGCCCUUGACUUUGGGAUAACUUCAGGAAACUGGGGCUAAUACCGGAUAGGAGCUCCUGCUGCAUGGUGGGGGUUGGAAAGUUUCGGCGGUUGGGGAUGGACUCGCGGCUUAUCAGCUUGUUGGUGGGGUAGUGGCUUACCAAGGCUUUGACGGGUAGCCGGCCUGAGAGGGUGACCGGCCACAUGAGGCCUGAGAGACGGCCCAGACGCCUACGGGAGGCAGCAGUGGGGAAUAUUGCACAAUGGGCGGAAGCCUGAUGCAGCAACGCCGCGUGCGGGAUGACGGCCUUCGGGUUGUAAACCGCUUUCGCCUGUGACGAAGAGUGAGUGACGGUAAUGGGUAAAGAAGCACCGGCUAACUACGUG